UACGAGGGGGGCGAGCGUUGUUCGGAAUUAUUGGGCGUAAAGCGCACGUAGGCGGAUGUGUCAGUCAGGGGUGAAAUCCCGGAGCUCAACUUCGGAACUGCCUUUGAUACAGCACGUCUUGAGUCCGAUAGAGGUGGGUGGAAUUCCUAGUGUAGAGGUGAAAUUCGUAGAUAUUGGGAAGAACACCGGUGGCGAAGGCGGCGCUCUGGACCGAGACUGACGCUGAGGCGCGAAAGCGUGGGGAGCAAACAGG
rnacentral:rRNA from 1 species